UUUUAUUAUUAACAAUUUUCUUCAUAUUAAUUUCUUUUCUUUUUUUUCUUUUUUUUAUUAUGUUUUACUUGAAUGGCCUCAACGUUCUUUGUCAGAGCAGCUCAAAAAACGUCCUUGAGUAUCUUAUACCUGACUUUGAACAGAGGAGAAAUGGACACAAGAACAGAUCACAGAAAAAGAAAUGGAUCUGAUUUGUUUAGAGUGGAGUUAACAUCUGAGCUGCAGUAGAAAUCUCUCUCAUCUUUUCGUAUACAAAACAGAUAUGAGCUUGAGAUUUGACCAUCAGAGAGGUUGCAAUGCCACUGUAAACGAAGCCAUUUCAUUAAUGUAAAUAAUGUUAAGGAAAGGGUGCCAUCUGAGAAAAAGCGUGGCAUUUUUUAUGAGCCACUUUUAAUAUGCCACACUUAUUUAAAUGCAACUAUAAAACGACUAGCGUGAGGAAGAAUAAAAAAAGCAAUACAGGAUGUUUUGUUUUUUUUUUUACUACAAACUGUGGAUGAGGCUUAAAAAUUCAGGCUGCGUAGACGCGCUGCAGGCGAGGUUCCUGUGAACGCUGCGGGGUUGGAACAAUGGAUGGUGGAGAGCUUGAGAUGAAGAUGACGUUCACAAUGAAGAUGUUCACAGAGCAUGCUAAUUCUGCUCCAUCUUUGACAGCUACUGUACAAGCUGUGCUGCAGCUAAUACAUAAAUUAGGAAUGAAAUAGAGCCAAUAAUGAACUCAUUAAAUGUCUUUGAUGUAGUAUUUUUACCCCUUUAUCAAAUUUUCCAUCGCACUGGAGUCACAAACUAUUAUGCAUUUUAUUUUUUUAUGUGACAGAGCAAAAAAAAAAAGGGAGUAAAUAAUUGCUAGGUAGAAGAAAUUUUUACACCAAGAUUUUUUUUUUUAGCACAAAUCCUGAAAUAAGUGAGAUCAGAAACGCUCCGAAGCAGAACAAUGAAGGAGAAAUAAAACCACUCCUGAUAGCUUCCAUCUUCAUACACAUCGUCACUUGUAGGUAACUGACACACGCCGCCGUUUUUCGGUGUCCUUCCCACAAUCUGUCUUGUACAUGCACGCCUGGGAUUGUUACAGUAAGGAGGUGUCAGCCUCCCGCUGCUGCUACCGAGCUCUGUUCAUAGCUGAUUAAUGGUGUCAUUAGUCUCCGUGCCAGAGGCUCUACUGAGACUGUUCCUACAUGACCCGGUUCCGGAUAAGAGGAUGAUGACGAGUAUAAGUCAGAAUAAAAACUAUCUGCCAUCUUAUUUAUCGCUGCUCUGCAAAGACAGGAAAGACGAGGAAGCCUGACAGCUCGUGACAUGAGAGCAGCUCCUUAAUGCACCGACAAAGUCAGAAAGUGAAGGAAAAUGUGUUGAACGAAGCCAAAAUGAGAGGCGAGGAGAGGAAUGAGGGAUGUCAAAAAAAAAUAAAAGCAUCACCCAGGAUCUUUCCUUUGCUGUGUCAAAAAUAUUUUGAAGCUAGUUUUUACUUUAUGACCUAUAGAGCAUUACAAGAGAAUCAAAAAAUGUGAUACAAGCACAGACAAAGGCUGAAAUAAUCGACUACCGUUCCCACAGAAGACUCCUCUAUUGUAUGGGACUAUAGGACUAACGAAGGCCUUGUUCAAACAUCUAAUCAGUGGAAAAAGAGGAAAAAAAAGAACUGACAGAGAAUCAGCAUCAGAUUGCUGAA